GUGAAGGCCCUGCUGAAGCAGUGGGAGGCGGCGUUCCUCCGGGAGCGGCGGAGAAAACCCACCCAGGCUGACAUCGAGGCGGCUCCGGAGGACACCAAACGGCUCUACAAGGAGUAUAAGACGCUCAAGCAGCAGAGAGAGAAGUCGGAUCCCUCCCAGCUCAGCCCCUCCUGCCAACCAGCAGCCCAGGAGACCCCAACUGCAGAGCAGGCGCCGGACUCCGGUUGUUGGGGAGCACACCUGAACCGGCAGCCCAAAACCCC
rnacentral:lncRNA from 1 species